GAUGAACGCUAGCGGCAGGCUUAAUACAUGCAAGUCGAGGGGCAGCAUGAAUGUAGCAAUACAUUUGAUGGCGACCGGCAAACGGGUGCGGAACACGUACACAACCUUCCUAUAAGUGGGGAAUAGCCCAGAGAAAUUUGGAUUAAUACCCCGUAACGUAAUGAUGUGGCAUCACAUUAUUAUUAUAGCUUCGGCGCUUAUUGAUGGGUGUGCGGCUGAUUAGAUAGUUGGCGGGGUAACGGCCCACCAAGUCUACGAUCAGUAGCUGAUGUGAGAGCAUGAUCAGCCACACGGGCACUGAGACACGGGCCCGACUCCUACGGGAGGCAGCAGUAAGGAAUAUUGGUCAAUGGACGCAAGUCUGAACCAGCCAUGCCGCGUGAAGGAUUAAGGUCCUCUGGAUUGUAAACUUCUUUUAUCUGGGACGAAAAAAGGCUAUUCUUAGUCACUUGACGGUACCAGAUGAAUAAGCACCGGCUAACUCCGUGCCAGCAGCCGCCGUAAUAC
rnacentral:rRNA from 1 species